rnacentral:rRNA from 1 species
UUUGGUUAAGUUAGAAAGGGCGCACGGUGGAUGCCUUGGCACUAGGAGCCGAUGAAGGACGGGACUAACACCGAUAUGCUUCGGGGAGCUGUAAGUAAGCUUUGAUCCGGAGAUUUCCGAAUGGGGAAACCCGCUGCACGUAAUGGUGCAGUAUCCAUACUUGAAUACAUAGAGUAUGGAAGGCAGACCCGGGGAACUGAAACAUCUAAGUACCCGGAGGAAGAGAAAGCAAACGCGAUUCCCUGAGUAGCGGCGAGCGAAACGGGAUCAGCCCAAACCAAGAGGCUUGCCUCUUGGGGUUGUAGGACACUCUAUACGGAGUUACAAAGGAACGAAGUAGACGAAGAAGCUUGGAAAGGCUCGUCACAGAAGGUAAUAACCCUGUAGUCGAAACUUYGUUCCCUCUUGAGUGGAUCCUGAGUACGGCGGGACACGAGAAAUCCCGUCGGAAGCUGGGAGGACCAUCUCCCAAGGCUAAAUACUCCCUAGUGACCGAUAGUGAACCAGUACCGUGAGGGAAAGGUGAAAAGCACCCCGGAAGGGGAGUG